rnacentral:rRNA from 1 species
UACGUAGGGGCUAGCGUUGUCCGGAAUCAUUGGGCGUAAAGCGCGUGUAGGCGGUCCGGUAAGUCCGCUGUGAAAGUCGGGGGCUCAACCCUCGGAUGCCGGUGGAUACUGUCGGGCUCGAGUACGGAAGAGGCGAGUGGAAUUCCUGGUGGUAGCGGUGAAAUGCGCAGAUAUCAGGAGGAACACCAAUUGCGAAGGCAGCUCGCUGGGACGUCACUGACGCUGAGACGCGAAGCGUGGGAGCAAACAGG